CACUCUUUUCUCGAACCUUUUCAACACCACGCCGAUUCCAAUAUCUCCUUGGUCUUCUCCCGAAUCGUCUACCUCUGCAAAAAACAACUUUUCUCAAUUUUUUUCACCUUUCCUCCUUCUCUCCUUACUCACUAUAUAAGACGGUGGUUGAUUCACGAAAAAUUUCUCUCACUAAAACCACCAGAUCUCUUCAUCGCCUCCGGAGAAAACGAGUAGUUAGUAACGGCGUUCGGUUUUGGAUCCAUCACUUUACCUCUGUAUACAGUUUACUGUAAAAAUAAAUUACUUCAUAUUUGGGAGAUGGAGGACUUCGAGUUCCAUCACUGGUGGAGCUUACGGUUAAAGUUUGGUUCAUGAUUUCACUUCCUCUGUUUCAGAUCUUUGGUUUCGUAACUGGUGAAAGCUCUUGAUCUGGUGUUUAAUUAGGUUGUUGGAGGUUUAAAAGGAGGAGAUGACGCUUUACAGGAGAGGAUUUGUCAUCUAUUUUUUCAGGACCAACGGAAAAUGGGCAAAUUGAUGUUCACUUUCAGGAUCUGCAUAGCGCAAGAACAACGUUCGAGCAGGCCCGGUUUCAUUUGGUCAUCACUUUUUCUUCUUAUGCUAUGAGAAUUUCCAAGAUAUUUCCUUUGCUUCAAUCUGCGAGUCAACACCAUCACAUGUAGCGUAACAUGAGUUAUCCUUGGUAUCGUCCCGUUAUCUAUAUCCUGAAUAGAAACUAAAUGAGGAUCAUGGUGUGUAUUGCCUCUCUCUCUCUCUCAAAUACUUGAAACAUAAAUCUUUAGCUCAUUCAAGUCGAAGGCUUUAUCUAGAGUUCCCUAAAUGAGCUCUUGCUACAAUAUAUGUACAGUUAUAUCGUUUUUGUUAACGGCUUAUGUUCAAACAUCCAUGCGGCAGAUUUUCCUCUUCCAUGUUGUUCUCAUAAGAAAGAUGAAAUCUUCGAUUUCUAUUCGCCUGAAAGCCCAAAACAAACGUUGAUCUCGAAGUUUAUGUGCAGCAGAUGAGAAUCAGCAGGGACUAUCCAUAAAGAUAGAAGGAGAUGGGCGUUCAACUUCUUCCACGCUGAUCAACAAGAAACCAGGUUUCUAUGGAAGCAUAAACCCACGGAAGCUUAUCACUUUAAGCUGAUAUGGAUGAAUGCAGACCUCUGUGUAAGACGACAUAUCAUUUGAUGUGUUGUGUUAUCAGAUCGGGAGUACACUCAUUGCAGUCACUCAACUUCUCUUUGUUGAGCGUUCUAGAAUUGUUUUGGGCCCUAUGCUAACUUUUAUUGGCUGUAGUGGUUGAAGAUUUAGAGGAUGGGGAUCAUACUUCUCAGCCAAAGGACAAAGUUGUGACAUGGAACCUGCCAUUUCGAAGUGAUACCUCAUAUUUGGUCCAGUCUACAACAUAAGCUUACGUGGAAGAUUUCAACAUUCAAAUAUUGAGCUGUGUUAGUGAUUCUGAUUAGAUGUAGAAAAACAUUGUAGAGAAGUAUGGAGUUAGGUACUCGAGGCUGAGAUACUUACAUGAUGCAAAAGAUGUUAUCAUAAGCCAUGGGGCGGAUCUCAUCUCAGGUAUUAUUCCAUGAUCUCCACUAAACGAAAUCUGAUGCGUAACGGAAGGAAUCAGAGGACAACAAGGCCAGUGGUGGAUCUGAUGAGAGAUUUUUCGUAUAGCCAUAUACAGAGCGGGUGGGAUAUGAACCAGUAGCUGUAAUGUUUUGCAUUAUCCUUGCAUUAUCAGUAAAUGACGAUUAGAAGUUACAGCUACUUGCCUUUUUCUUCUACAGUUAAGUUUAUAGUUGUUUUAACGUACAAGAUAAAUUGGAAGAGUAGACGUGGCCGUUGAUAAUUCUGUAGUAGAGUCUUAGGUGUAUCUCUUUAGUCUGAGGGUUAGAUUCAGUAGCAGCUAUGUGCCAUCUUUUGGUUGUAUCUGGUGAAGCUGAAGUUCUUGGUGGGAAUAUGAAAAAGCAGAUAAUGGAUGAGUCUGAGAAUUUGAGUUUGAACUGACUGGUGCCGCCUCAUCCUCCACCGCUUCCAGCAUCUCCAGGAUAUGAAUCAAGAGAGGUUGAGGGAGACAGCAUAACCUAAAAACAGAUCAACAAGUUCCCUCAUCCUCUUUGCUGCUAUUGAGGCUGCAGCUCAGAGGCCUAAUCUCCUUCUUGGUUUUGACAAUUCUUGUGAAGGUUUUAUAUCACUGAGGAGGAAAAUCAAUAUUUUUCUCGAGUUUUUAUAAUCUUCUGCUAUAGAUUGGAUAGAACCUCUUUAGAUCAAACUAAUUAUGAAGGUCGAUAUCAAUAUCUAUUGGUGUCUAUUGGAGAUUCAAAUUUUUAUGUACGG